rnacentral:rRNA from 1 species
AUUGAACGCUGGCGGCAGGCCUAACACAUGCAAGUCGAGCGGAUGAAGGGAGCUUGCUCCUGGAUUCAGCGGCGGACGGGUGAGUAAUGCCUAGGAAUCUGCCUGGUAGUGGGGGAUAACGUCCGGAAACGGGCGCUAAUACCGCAUACGUCCUGAGGGAGAAAGUGGGGGAUCUUCGGACCUCACGCUAUCAGAUGAGCCUAGGUCGGAUUAGCUAGUUGGUGGGGUAAAGGCCUACCAAGGCGACGAUCCGUAACUGGUCUGAGAGGAUGAUCAGUCACACUGGAACUGAGACACGGUCCAGACUCCUACGGGAGGCAGCAGUGGGGAAUAUUGGACAAAGGGCGAAAGCCUGAUCCAGCCAUGCCGCGUGUGUGAAGAAAGUCUUCGGAUUGUAAAGCACUUUAAGUUGGGAGGAAGGGCAGUAAGUUAAUACCUUGCUGUUUUGACGUUACCAACAGAAUAAGCACCGGCUAACUUCGUG